rnacentral:rRNA from 1 species
GUGCCAGCCGCCGCGGUAAUACGGAGGGUGCGAGCGUUGUCCGGAAUCACUGGGCGUAAAGGGCGCGUAGGCGGUUCGGUAAGUUGCUGGUGAAAUCCCGAGGCUCAACCUCGGGGCUGCCGGCAAGACUGUCGGACUCGAGCACGGUAGGGGCAGAUGGAAUUCCCGGUGUAGCGGUGGAAUGCGUAGAUAUCGGGAAGAAUACCAGUGGCGAAGGCGUUCUGCUGGGCCGUUGCUGACGCUGAGGCGCGACAGCGUGGGGAGCAAACAGGAUUAGAAACCCUAGUAGUCC